rnacentral:rRNA from 1 species
GUGUCAGCAGCCGCGGUAAUACAGAGGUCCCGAGCGUUGUUCGGAUUUACUGGGCGUAAAGGGUGCGUAGGCGGUGGGGUAAGUUUGAGGUGAAAGCUCCGGGCUCAACCCGGAAACUGCCUUGAAAACUAUCCGGCUAGAGGGUUGGAGGGGAGACUGGAAUUCUCGGUGUAGCAGUGAAAUGCGUAGAUCUCGAGAGGAACACCAGUGGCGAAGGCGGGUCUCUGGACAACACCUGACGCUGAGGCACGAAAGCCAGGGGAGCAAACGGGAUUAGAUACCCCUGUAGUCC